rnacentral:rRNA from 1 species
GAUGAACGCUGGCGGCGUGCCUAAUACAUGCAAGUCGAGCGAACAGACGAGGAGCUUGCUCCUCUGACGUUAGCGGCGGACGGGUGAGUAACACGUGGAUAACCUACCUAUAAGACUGGGAUAACUUCGGGAAACCGGAGCUAAUACCGGAUAAUAUAUUGAACCGCAUGGUUCAAUAGUGAAAGAAGGGUUUGCUGUCACUUAUAGAUGGAUCCGCGCCGCAUUAGCUAGUUGGUAAGGUAACGGCUUACCAAGGCAACGAUGCGUAGCCGACCUGAGAGGGUGAUCGGCCACACUGGAACUGAGACACGGUCCAGACUCCUACGGGAGGCAGCAGUAGGGAAUCUUCCGCAAUGGGCGAAAGCCUGACGGAGCAACGCCGCGUGAGUGAUGAAGGUCUUCGGAUCGUAAAACUCUGUUAUUAGGGAAGAACAAAUGUGUAAGUAACUAUGCACGUCUUGACGGUACCUAAUCAGAAAGCCACGGCUAACUACGUG